CUUUGACCAAAUAUGGCGACCAAAUAUUACUAUAAACUAUAUGGGAGUUGAUCAAAAUAUCAAAUUUUAAUAUACUUUGUUUAAAUAUUUCAUGGUUGCGGAGCUCGAUUAUAGUAGCGACACGAACAAGCAAUAUUUCUAAACAAAAAUCGCUACUAUUGCACCGCGUCUAGCAGGUUCCUGAGAAUGUUGUAUUUUUACACGCAAUUCGAUGAAUUUCAUAGUGUAAUUUAUAGUAAACUUGUGACACAAGAGGUAAAUAUCCGACGAAUAGACCAACAUCCAUUCGGACGAUGCAAAGUGCGGAGCUCGCGAUAUAUUUAAUGAUGUCCAAACUGUUAAUUUAGCUAAAUAAAUCGCUGUAAUUUCCAGGGAAACUAGUUCCCGAAACGUUUAAAAGUUCGCCUUUUUACGGUUCUUGUAUGUCGCCAUUAGGCCAUCUUAAUAUCCAAAAACGAC